rnacentral:rRNA from 1 species
AAGUUUGUAGUCCUCGGCGUCACGGAGUGAACGCUGGCGGCGUGCUUAACACAUGCAAGUCGAGCGAAGCAGUUAAGAAGAUUCUUCGGAUGAUUCUUAACUGACUGAGCGGCGACGGGUGAGUAACGCGUGGGUGACCUGCCCCAUACCGGGGGAGUAACAGCUGGAAACGGCUGCUAAUACCGCAUAAGCGCACAGAGCUGCAUGGCUCGGUGUGAAAAACUCCGGUGGUAUGGGAUGGGCCCGCGUCUGAUUAGGCAGUUGGCGGGGUAACGGCCCACCAAACCGACGAUCAGUAGCCGGCCUGAGAGGGCGAUCGGCCACAUUGGGACUGAGACACGGCCCAAACUCCUACGGGAGGCAGCAGUGGGGAAUAUUGCACAAUGGGGGAAACCCUGAUGCAGCGACGCCGCGUGAGCGAAGAAGUAUUUCGGUAUGUAAAGCUCUAUCAGCAGGGAAGAUAAUGACGGUACCUGACUAAGAAGCCCCGGCUAACUACGUG